CCUGCCCCAACUCCCAUCUGGGGCCCGUCAGCUCUGCUUAUGGCCAGGAGCAUGUGGCAGCCGUGGGGGCAGGGAGGACAGCCUUGGCUUCACCCCAGCAGGAAAGGCAGGUUCUGACGAGGAAGCAACUGGGCGGGUCCAGCCCCCAUCAGGUGGUGCCCAGGGAGGCAGUCCAGGCACCCGCCUGGCCUGGCUCCAGGCUUCGGCCACAGUCUUCCACCAGGAUGUGACUGAAGGCCUGGCCGAGGUCUGCAGGCCACCUGGAGGGCACCUGGAGAGCCAGGAGCGUAAGUGCUGGGCCCUGGGUCUACCCCACGACCCCUCUGCCUCUCCCCAGGCUGUGAGCUCCCCGAGGACGACGCCCCCUCUGCUUACACCACCUGCAGGCGCUCCAGCCCCGGCACUGGAAGGCCUUGGCCACCGACACAGCAGCCUCAUCUUCUGGCUGGAUAAACUCACCUCAGAGCCAAGCGGCCCCGGAGAAGCUGCCUCUGUGGCCCGGUCUGCAGGGUGGAGUUACCGUGGGUCCCUCGCAUCAGACAUCUGCCUGCGGACCAGACACCUGCUCUCCUCCAAGGAGCCUCAAUGUCCAGAGAAGGGAUCCUGCGGUGACCGAGGGACAGGCCUGUCUUCUGGGUCACCACAUCUUGGCAUUUAUUAUUUGCCCCCAGGAAGGUCUGAAGGAUUUUACUUUUAAAAACCAUAGUCAGCCGGGCGCGGUGGCUAACGCCUGUAAUCCCAGCACUUAGGGAGGCCGAGGCGGGUGGAUCACCUGAGGUCAGGAGUUCAAGAACAAUCUGACCAACAUGCAGAAACCCUGUCUCUACUAAUACUACAAAAUUAGCCAGGUGUGGUGGUGGGCGCCCGUAAUCCCAGCUACUUGGGGGGCUGAGGCAGGAGAAUUGCUUGAACCUGCGGGGUGGAGGUUGCAGUGAGCUGAGAUCACACCAUUGCACUCCAGCCUGGGCAACAAGAGCGAAACUCUGUCUCAAAA
rnacentral:lncRNA from 1 species